rnacentral:rRNA from 1 species
ACUCCUACGGGAGGCAGCAGUGGGGAAUAUUGCACAAUGGGCGCAAGCCUGAUGCAGCCAUGCCGCGUGUGUGAAGAAGGCCUUCGGGUUGUAAAGCACUUUCAGUCGUGAGGAAGGUAGUGUAGUUAAUAGCUGCAUUAUUUGUACGUUAGCGACAGAAGAAGCACCGGCUAACUCCGUGCCAGCAGCCGCGGUAAGUACGGAGGGUGCGAGCGUUAAUCGGUAAUUACGUGGGCGUAAAGCGCAUGCAGGUGGUUUGUUAAGUCUAGAUGUGAAACGCCCGGGGCUCAACCGUCGGAAUAGCAUUUGAAACUGGCAGACUAGAGUACUGUAGAGGGGGUUAGAAUUUCGAGGUGUAGCGGUG